AUUGAACGCUGGCGGCAUGCCUUACACAUGCAAGUCGAACGGUAACGGGCCUUCGGGUGCCGACGAGUGGCGAACGGGUGAGUAAUGUAUCGGAACGUACCUUUCAGUGGGGGAUAACGUAGCGAAAGUUACGCUAAUACCGCAUAUUCUGUGCGCAGGAAAGCAGGGGAUCGCAAGACCUUGCGCUGAUUGAGCGGCCGAUAUCAGAUUAGCUAGUUGGUGAGGUAAAGGCUCACCAAGGCGACGAUCUGUAGCGGGUCUGAGAGGAUGAUCCGCCACACUGGAACUGAGACACGGUCCAGACUCCUACGGGAGGCAGCAGUGGGGAAUUUUGGACAAUGGGGGCAACCCUGAUCCAGCCAUGCCGCGUGAGUGAAGAAGGCCUUCGGGUUGUAAAGCUCUUUCGGCCGGGAAGAAAUCGUAUCAGCUAAUACCUGGUGCGGAUGACGGUACCGGCAUAAGAAGCACCGGCUAACUACGUGCCAGCAGCCGCCGUAAGAC
rnacentral:rRNA from 1 species